rnacentral:lncRNA from 1 species
GCCCCAGGAAAAGUGUUCUGGGAGCAGGGCGCCCUUGGCCGGGCCUGGGGUGGGUGGGCGCAAGGGAGACCACAGGGCCCAGCCCCUGCCAGGGCUGCCUCUCUUUCUGAGUCACAUGGGCCCAGCUUCCCUAGAGUAAGAAGGAAAGGAUGUUCCCAGGGCAAAUAGAUCCAUUUCCAGUAAAAAUAAGAGAACUAUGAUGUGGUAGAAAAACAGGUUUGGUUUACUUAUGCUCUUAAAGUUUUGAACAAGUCAGUAUUGACACAAAGUAACAAAAGGAAACAGUGCUGGAGUGGGUAGCCCAUCCGCCUGUGAGCCCUUGGGCAGACGUCUUCUUGACCCAAAGCUCACCUGCCACAGGCCUGUUGUAAAUGCCUGUAGAAAACGCCAGUCAAAAUCACCAGCUGAGACAAAAACAGGUGUGUCCAGAAACAGACUCUUGACUUGUAGACUUCUUGAGCACAUGUCCUCCGACAUACCUGACAAAUAUUUUAAGAUCAUGCUUGUGACGGAGUGCUUCACUUUAGGACCUCGGACAGGUGAGCAAAAUCAGAAGGAGAAGGGGGAUUUUUAUGUCCCAGUAGGUGGACAUUAAAGCAGGUGGUGAAUUAGAUUCUCUUUUCCUGAGAACACUCCUUGUGACUCGCUUUUUCUUGGAUAAUCUUCCACAUCCCCAGGCAGGUAAUAAGUGACUAUGCUAACAGCCCUAACCACGGGGGUGUGGUGGUUUACAUCUGCUUCCUUCUUUCUGGCCACAGGCAUUUUUGCGAGGCCUCGUGCACUGUCCCAGGAUGGUGGUGACAAGCGAAGGCUUCAGGAGCUGUGCGGGAAGCAAGGGGCUGCUGAGUCCACCUGCUUUGUGAGAGACGCUGGCCUUGGCUUGCUGGGCUCCUCCACGCCUUCCAUCUCGUCGGUCACUGCUUCCUGUGCUGCUGGAACAUUUUCUGAAGCUUCAACCCAGACCAUAUUCCUGUGCCAGGUACUAAUACUUCUUUAAUUUUUUUACUCUCAAGGUGCUAAUAUUUGUUAACAUAGUACAAUAUGGCAUCUUUUUUUUUCCUUAAAAUCUUAUAAGACUCAAUCUUUUAAAUCCUUAGUGUCUACUAAUUUCAUGUCAUUCAGUGAAAACAUAUCCAAUUUUAGGCAUGAAGAAGACACAUCUAACAAGCUCCUGUCCUCCAGGAGUUCAUAAAGUUUGAAAUCUUCUCCUGUUCCGGGUCCAAUUCCGUGUUUCUCCACUUACAGCGGUGAGCCUCACUUUCCUGCACCUGCCUCCUUUACUGGCUGACCCCCGCGUUGGUGGGGAGGGGGCAGCGAGAGGCAGGAAGGCCCCCAUGAAGCAUUUCUCCCCUGCACAGGGCAGGCAGCCCCCUCGCCUGGCCUCCGUGUUGUGGUCAUCACCAUUUCCCAUCUUGCUCUACCCUUUGCUCCUUGGUGAUAGAAGGUGUCACAUGCUUUGUUGAUUGAGGAUUAACUCCAGAAUGUCUGCCUGAUCUGGCUUGCGCUGUAUCUUUAUUUAUUUAUUUAUUUUACAUAGUAUUUGAUAUUUAUUUAUUAAGAGAAAUUAUUCCAUAGCCCACAUUUUCAAGUCUUAAUUCAGGAGCACAGACAGGUCAGUGAUAAACAUCCAGGGAACUCAAUCCAAAGAAAUUCUUUAUGUUCCAAAAUCACUUUGCACUCUGAAAGAUACCAGCCUUCCUCAUCUCCUUGAAAUCUUUCAUGGAAUCAUAAUUUCUAUAGAAAUCUGCAUAUGCCUUUUUUCUUGGUUCAGCCACACCAAACUUAACACCAACGUCCUUCCUUACAGACAGAAAAAUGAACUGCCGCACUGUAUCUUUAAAAGCUAUUUCCAGUUUGAGUUUGUAGCUUUCUACAUGUCGUCCCUCAGGCACUUUAAUAUUUUACCAGCUCAACAGUAACUAAUCUAUGGGGUCUGUGUCAGGAUUUGCCCCUGGUCAUUCACAACGUCUAAAUGAUGUCCUGCGGGUCUUCACAAGGAAACCUUCAAGGGCGAGUGAGUAGUUGUAAGUCUUCUUUAGUCUGGAAGGCCAAGAAGUAAAGGAAUCCUUUCCUGAGUGGUACCAUAAAAGAAGGCAAGAAAUGUUUAGGACACAAAAUUGCCUUCUUCUCAUGGGGCAUAAACAGGUAGAUUGAAGACCACAUGGAAAUACUCCCCCACAAUAGAGUAUGGAUUAGAGUGGAUUUACUGAUAUUUUAUUCAGGAACAAAUGUGACGAGUAAUUGAAGAAAAUGUGGCCUUGGUGUGGAGAAAGUGGCCAUGGUCGCUGCUGGGGAUAGGGAGUGGGAGGAAGAGAUGAGAUGUGAGGGCGUUUUAGGGACUUGGAGCUGUCCUGGGUGGUGCGGCAGGGACCGUUACUGGACAUUGUAUGUCCUCCCAUGACCCACUGGGUGGACUGUGAGAGAGUGCGGGCUAUGGUGUGGACCAUUGACCAUGAGGUGCAGCAGUGCUCAGAGAUGUACUCACCAAGUGCAAUGAAUGUCUCAUGAUGAUGGAGGAGGUUGUUGUUAUGGGGAGAGGAGUGGGGUGAGAGGGGUGGAGGGUAUAUGGGGAACUCAUUUUUUUAAUGUAACAUUUUAAAAAAAGGACAAAAAAAAGAAAAAAUAAAUACCAAAAAAAAAAAAAAAAAGAACAGGGCCUUAGAAUCCUAAUACGGAUUCUGAGAACUUCCCUGUGUGCCUCUGCAGCUCGUGUUUAUCUCACCCAGGGAAGCCUCAUGUUGUUUUUAACGUCGUGGAGUUUGUGUCUAAGGCCAUGACGGUGGUUUUGCGGAAGGGAGUCUGUACAGGCUGACUGGCCACGCUGGUGGCCUCGGUUCUUCAGCCAAGUGCGCAUGCAGCACUCACAAAUGGCGGAGGAACCCUGGCACCUGAGGUUCGUGGAGAGUGUGCAAUUGCAGCCCCACUAGAAUUCUCUUCUUUGCCUGUUCAGGGAAAAAAAAAAAACAAUAGACACUGUCAUUAGAUUAUUCAAAGGAAAAUUUAUGCUGUACUCUUAAUUGUAAAAUCUCUGUUGUGAAGACAGGAAAAUAUUUAUUUUCAUUUCCUAUGAAUAUACUUUUUAAUGUUUCAACUGUGCAGCCCAAAGCUGACUCAUAUAUUUUCUAAAUGUGUAAGACACAAACUUUAUGGCUUUCCAUUUUGAGUAGUAAGAGCUCCCGUCCCUAUUUUUUCGGUUUUUGUCAUGGUCGUGGUACCUAGGAUCUGAAUUAGUGCUGUUAAUGAGAAGAAAUCACUUUUAAAACACCUAGGAGAAAAAUAUACUUAAUUUUCCAAACAAAUUGUGGACUUAUUUACAUCUGUACUUUUUGAUGUAUUUUGUGUUUUGGUCCAGCACUCAGCACAAUCUCGUUUGAUACCCAUGUGUAGGAACAAUUUAAAGACAGUCCUCCUGGCCCAUAAGGAUGGUUGAAAUGGAAAAAACAAUCAUGAUCCCUCAUGAAGUCUUCUCCCAGGUAAUUUAAGAAAUGCGUCAUCUCUUGCUUUAUCUUGGGAUCAUUUUGGCUUCUUGAUGUCAUUGUCGUCUAAAGUUCAUA